AGAGUUUGAUCCUGGCUCAGGACGAACGCUGGAGGCGUGCUUAACACAUGCAAGUCGAACGAUGAAGUGGAGCUUGCUCCACGGAUUAGUGGCGAACGGGUGAGUAACACGUGAAUAACCUGCCCUCAAUUUCGGAAUAACCCAGGGAAACCUGGGCUAAUACCGGAUACGUAAACCUGUGGCAUCACAUGGUUUUGGAAAGUUUUUCGAUUGAGGAUGGAUUCGCGGCCUAUCAGCUUGUUGGUGAGGUAAUGGCUCACCAAGGCGACGACGGGUAGCCGGCCUGAGAGGGUGAACGGCCACACUGGGACUGAGACACGGCCCAGACCCCUACGGGAGGCAGCAGUGGGGAAUAUUGCGCAAUGGACGAAAGUCUGACGCAGCGACGCCUCGUGAGGGACGAAGGUCUUCGGAUUGUAAACCUCUUUCAGCAGGGACGAAGCGAAAGUGACGGUACCUGCAGAAGAAGCACCGGCUAACUAUGUGCCAGCGGCCGCGGUAAUACAUAGGGUGCAAGCGUUGUCCGGAUUUAUUGGGCGUAAAGAGUUCGUAGGCGGUUUUUCGCGUCGGAUGUGAAAACUCAGGGCUCAACCCUGAGCCUGCAUUCGAUACGGGAAGACUCGAGGACGGCAGGGGAGACUGGAACUUCUGGUGUAGCGGUGGAAUGCGCAGAUAUCAGANAGAACACCAAUGGCGAAGGCAGGUCUCUGGGCCGAUCCUGACGCUGAGGAACGAAAGCGUGGGGAGCAAACAGGAUUAGAUACCCUGGUAGUCCACGCCGUAAACUAUGGACGCUAGGUGUGGGGAACAUUCCACGUUCUCUGCGCCGCAGCUAACGCAUUAAGCGUCCCGCCUGGGGAGUACGACCGCAAGGUUAAAACUCAAAGGAAUUGACGGG
rnacentral:rRNA from 1 species